AACGAACGCUGGCGGCAUGCCUAACACAUGCAAGUCGAACGAAGCCUUCGGGCUUAGUGGCGCACGGGUGCGUAACGCGUGGGAAUCUGCCCUUAGGUACGGAAUAACUCAGGGAAACUUGUGCUAAUACCGUAUGAUGUCGAGAGACCAAAGAUUUAUCGCCUAGGGAUGAGCCCGCGUAGGAUUAGCUAGUUGGUGGGGUAAAGGCCUACCAAGGCGACGAUCCUUAGCUGGUCUGAGAGGAUGAUCGGCCACACUGGGGCUGAGACACGGGCCCAGACUCCUACGGGAGGCAGCAGUGGGGAAUAUUGGACAAUGGGCGAAAGCCUGAUCCAGCAAUGCCGCGUGAGUGAAGAAGGCC
rnacentral:rRNA from 1 species